CACCGCGGUUACACGAAUGACUAAAGUUGAUAACUACGGCACAAAGGGUGGUUAAUAAUAAUUAAAUAAAGUCAAACAUAUUUACAGUUGUAUCAAGCAAAAUAAUAUAUGAAGCCCAAUCCCGAAAGAAACUUUAUUACUUUGACACCACGUAAACUAUCUAA
rnacentral:rRNA from 1 species